rnacentral:rRNA from 1 species
GAUGAACGCUAGCGGCGGGCUUAAUACAUGCAAGUCAAGGGGUAGCAAUACACCGGCGUACGGGUGCGUAACGCGUAUGGAACCUGCCCUUAUCUGGGGGAUAACUCGGGGAAACUCGAGCUAAUACCGCAUAAGAUAGUAGAGAGGCAUCUCUUAGCUAUUAAAGAUUUAUCGGAUAAGGAUGGCCAUGCGUAAGAUUAGAUAGUUGGCGAGGUAACGGCUCACCAAGUCUACGAUCUUUAGGGGCUCUGAGAGGAGAAUCCCCCACACUGGCACUGAGAUACGGGCCAGACUCCUACGGGAGGCAGCAGUAGGGAAUAUUGGGCAAUGGGCGGAAGCCUGACCCAGCCACGCCGCGUGCAGGAGGACGGCCCUCUGGGUUGUAAACUGCUUUUAACUGGGAAGAAAGUAGUCCUUGCGAGGAAAGUUGACGGUACCAGUUGAAUAAGCCACGGCUAACUACGUGCCAGCCGCCGCGGUAAAAC